UGAACAUCAGACUUCCAGAAAGAGAAGAUCAUCGUCAAGGAAAGCUUCAGACGGACUCCACAGACUUCUUUCAUGUGAAGUUUUCUCUAACGCUGAUCACUUAAACAUUUCCAAAGAACUAGAUGAGAUGCCGACCAGAACACCAGAACAUCAGCUUUGAUCUCAUUUAGCGUGGGGGGAGGAUACAACAUGUCUCCGGACCGCCAACAUCACAGCAAUCACCAAACAUGGUGUAUAUGUGAGCAGGUGGGACAAACUAAUUGCAUGAUUGGAUGGUUUUUGCAUGUUUGUUGUGUUUUUACACCCCUUGCAUGCUGCAUGUGGACACGCCCCUUAAUUAGAAGCACCUGCUCUUAAUUGAGAGACUAUAUAGGAGUGGAGCAGAGAAGCAGACGGGGGCUCCAGAAUGUAGUGGACUCUGGGAAAAGUUCCUGCCUGGCCAGGAGGGCGCACACCCCAGGGGCGCUUGGUUCUGCGCACCCUGGGAGCAUGGCAUACACGCCGGGAACCACCGGGCCUCUAUGCACAGGGGACGCAUUUGGACCGCCAGACCACUCAUCAGAUGCACCAAUGGAGUGAGGAGGGCGCACGCACCGGGGGCAAUUGGACCGCUGGGACCGCCAGUUCUGCCAUGCCGUCAACACGCAGGGGCAGGGCAGGGACCCUGCCGGUGUUGUAAGUAUCCCGACGUGACUUAGCAGACUGGUAGAAACACACAAGAAGGCUGGGUCCAACCUGGAUGUUGGAGUACCUUUGGUGCUGCCGCUUGUGUGUUUCCAUGCAGGAGUCCCAGCGCGCCGGAAGGCCAGCCAGAAGCGACAUGACACGGGGAGGAGUGUGUGAGGCUGAAAACGCGCAGAGGCAGAGGGGAACUCUGCCUGGCCUGUCCUGGUGCGUGUGACCCGAGGACUUCCCUGAUCAUGGAGGAAGGACAUCAUGGGUGCAGUCUGGCGGGUGGAGGACGUCCCCUGGAUUCCGGAUCUGCUGUCUCCCAAAGCUGCUUUUGUCGACUGUCCCCCGGACUUUUAGUAUUGCUUUUUAGUCGUUUUUACCCUGUUUCUGCAUCUUAUUGUAUUUUAUACUUUUUAGAGCGGUUUUAUGUAUUUUAGUUUUUAUCAUCUCAUUGGCCAGUCAGGUUUUAAGAUUAAUAAACUGUUUUUGUGGCCAAAAA